AUGUACUGACACAAACACAGAAAACAAAUUAAGACAAAUUAGAAAACUCUCUGAAUCAAAAACAUGCAUGGUUGAAAGAAUCAAAGAUACGCUUUACCUUUCGAUUCCCUUGAAAAAACAAUCGCGUUUCAGAGAGCCACCACGAGAGAGAGAUAACCACCGAUUGAGAGUUCACCGUCUUCCUUCCCCGACGAGAGCCACCGAGUGGGAGAGGAAUCGCCGUUUCGUCGAGGAGAGCACAGAGAGAGAGAGAGAGAGAAAAAUCGCCGUUUCGUCGAGGAGAGCACCGACAAAGAGAGAGCUCGCCGUUGUCCAUCGUCGACGUGAGAAACCCGUAGAGACGUCGACGAGAUCCACGGAGAGGUCGAGAUAAUCGCCGUUUUCGUCGCUCUUGCGGAGCAACCGAGAAGAGAAAGGAAAGAGAGAAAGAAACAAGAACGACUUCACCGUUCGGAGAACCAAUACCAGAGUGACACGUCGCCCAAAGAACCGUGCCUUCAAGCACUUAAUUAGGGGACGCCCCUUUGCUUUAUUUCGUGUUUUCCAUUUUUUUUUUUGAUUAAUUAUGUUAAGGGACGUGGUUAAGGGCUGCCUUUAAACAUGAGUGAGUGAGUGAGUGAGGGUCGUCACUCACUACUACCCCACUAAAAGCUUUUCCCGAGGGAGCAAAAAUAGCAGAGAGGAAAAUGACAGAAAACGACAAGAAAACGCUACGAUUCAAUCCCAUGAAGCUCAAACUUGUAACCUUCACCGGAGCGGCCGGGCUGCUCGGACUCGCCGUCAGCUUCGCCAUCUUCGCUUUCAAGUCUCACAAGGACAAAUACAAGAAGAAAGGUCUUCCUGGAUGUGAUUCUGUUUGUGUUAACCUAUCUGCGAAGGAGAUUCUCGAAUUAGCCGACGAGAUCAUCUCCAAUUCCACGAGAGUUCAUGAUGAUGUCGCCUUGGUUCCUCUAAACAAGCUCUCUUAUGAGAAUGUUGUGUUGCCACCGGCGGAGCUUGAAGCGAGACAGCUUCCUCUUAUACAAUCCUGUGUGAUACCUAAGAUGUUAUCUCCUCACGAUAACGUUCGUAAAGCUAGUGCUGAAGCUGAGCUGAAGAUAGACGAUCAUCUUCUCUCCUGCAGAAAACGUGAAGAUGUUUACCGCGUUAUCAAAGUUUAUGCUGCAAAGGGAGAAUCAAUUUCUCCGGAAGCUAAACGCUACCUACAGUGUCUGGUUAGAGACUUCGAGCACAAUGGUCUGAACCUUACUGCAACAAAAAGAGAGGAAGUGGAUAGACUGAGAAAUGAAAUUGAUGAGCUAAGCAUGCGUUACGUUCAGAACUUAAAUGAAGAUAGUUCUUGUCUCUUUUUUACCGAGGCUGAGCUUGCUGGUCUGCCUCUGGAAUUCCUUCAGAGUUUGGAUAAAACUCAAAAUAAAGAAUUCAAGCUCACCUUGGAAAGUAAUCACGUGGCAGCUAUCCUAGAGUUGUGCAAGAUAGCCAAGACAAGGAAGACAGUGGCUAUGGCAUAUGGAAAGAGAUGUGGAGAUGCCAAUAUUCCGGUUUUACAAAAAUUGGUUCAGUCGCGCCAUAGAUUAGCUCGCUUACUUGGUUAUGCACACUUUGCAGAUUAUGCUCUCGAUCAUAGGAUGUCAAAGACAUCAACAAGGGUGAUCAGGUUCCUGGAGGACAUUUCUUCCAAUUUAACUGAUUUGGCUAGUAGAGAGUUGUCCUUUUUGAAAGACUUGAAGAGGAAAGAAGAAGGGGAGCUUCCGUUUGGUGUAGAAGAUCUUUUAUUUUAUAUAAAGAGGGUAGAGGAGUUGCAGUUUGAUCUUGAUUUUGGAGAUAUCCGACAAUAUUUUCCUAUCAGUUUGGUCCUUCCCGGGAUCUUUAAAAUAUGUCAGGACCUUUUUGGAAUAAAGAUUGAAGAGGUUACAGAAAUUGAUGUCUGGUAUUAUGAUGUUCGAGCAUUUGCCGUCUUUGACUCCGGAUCUGGAAAGCUUUUGGGAUAUUUCUAUCUUGACAUGUUUUCAAGGGAAGGGAAAUUUAGUCAGAGCUGUGUGGUUGCUCUUCAGAACAAUGCACUGUUCUCCAAUGGUGCAUGUCAGAUUCCUGUGGCAUUGCUUAUUGCACAAUUAGCAAAGGAUGGUGGUGAAGCUGUGCCUUUGGGGUUCUCUGAGGUGGUUAAUCUUUUUCAUGAGUUUGGCCAUGUGGUCCAACAUAUCUGCAAUCGUGCUUCAUUUGCUAGAUUCUCAGGCCUACGUGUUGACCCUGACUUUCGAGAGAUCCCUUCUCAACUACUGGAAAACUGGUGUUACGAGAGUUUCACCUUGAAGUUAAUAUCAGGUUAUCGUCAGGAUAUCACCAAGCCACUUGUGGAUGAAGUCUGCAAAACACUCAAACGUUGGCGAUAUUCCUUCUCUGCACUCAAGUCGCUUCAAGAGAUACUAUACUGUGGGGCAUCUCUUUCGGUCUAUUCGAUCAGAAAAUAUAUUCGGAUGAUGAUGUGGACUUUCACCAACUAAUCAGGAGUCUUCAUCCAAAGGUAAUGUUAGGGCUACCAGUGGUGGAAGGAACAAACCCUGCUUCAUGUUUCACACGUGCUGUAAUCGGCUCUGAAGCAACAUGUUACAGCCGUUUAUGGAGUGAGGUUUAUGCUGCUGAUAUAUUUGCUUCACAAUUUGGAGAUGGGCAUCCGAAUUUGUAUAAUGGCUUGCAGUUCAGAGACAAAGUAA